GGGGCUGACUUGGAUUUCGACAGAUUUCUUGUCGCACAGACAGCAUGCCAAGCGCUGCUUGUAAAACAGCAACAAAAAUAACUGUAAACAACACAGAUUACGCUCCAGCUUACGCUAAAGCUGCGUGAGUUAAUCUCCUUUUGGAGCUGGACUGAUUAGAAUUUCUAGCGUUUUAAUCACUCCAUAACCUUAAGCUAGACGCUUUUAAAAGGUGGUUCGCCUUUUAAACUAAGAAACAAGAACUCUUGAAACUACCUCAAGGUUUUAGAAAGUUGGACCAGAGCUAGUUUUAAGGCUAAAAAAUUAACCAAUUUUCUAAGCAUUGUAGAAGUUUGUGUUUAGGACAAGAUUUUUGGACUGGGGUUCGAUUCCCCACAGCUCCACCA
rnacentral:tmRNA from 1 species